GACGUAGGGUGCGAGCGUUUGUCCGGAUUUAUUGGGCGUAAAGAGCUCGUAGGCGGCUCGUCGCGUCGACCGUGAAAACCCGCAGCUUAACUGCGGGCCUGCGGUUGAUACGGGCGGGCUAGAGUUCGGUAGGGGAGACUGGAAUUCCUGGUGUAGCGGUGAAAUGCGCAGAUAUCAGGAGGAACACCGGUGGCGAAGGCGGGUCUCUGGGCCGAUACUGACGCUGAGGAGCGAAAGCAUGGGUAGCGAACAGG
rnacentral:rRNA from 1 species